rnacentral:rRNA from 1 species
AUCCUACGGGAGGCAGCAGUGGGGAAUAUUGCACAAUGGGCGCAAGCCUGAUGCAGCCAUGCCGCGUGUAUGAAGAAGGCCUUCGGGUUGUAAAGUACUUUCAGCAGUGAGGAAGGUGGAUAUGUUAAUAGCAUAUUCAUUUGACGUUUAGCUGCAGAAGAAGCACCGGCUAACUCCGUGCCAGCAGCCGCGGUAAUACGGAGGGUGCGAGCGUUAAUCGGAAUUACUGGGCGUAAAGCGCAUGCAGGUGGUUUGUUAAGUCAGAUGUGAAAGCCCGGGGCUCAACCUCGGAAUUGCAUUUGAAACUGGCAAACUAGAGUACUGUAGAGGGGGUAGAAUUUCAGGUGUAGCGGUGAAAUGCGUAGAGAUCUGAAGGAAUACCGGUGGCGAAGGCGGCCCCCUGGACAGAUACUGACACUCAGAUGCGAAAGCGUGGGGAGCAAACAGGAUUAGAUACCCUGGUAG